GUCUCUGUAGUGCAAUCGGUUAGCAUAAAAGACCGGACAUCUGUAGAUGCGAGUUCGAGUCUUGCCUGAGGUU
rnacentral:tRNA from 1 species